CCUACGGGUGGCAGCAGUGGGGAAUAUUGGACAAUGGGGGCAACCCUGAUCCAGCCAUGCCGCGUGUGUGAAGAAGGCCCUCGGGUUGUAAAGCACUUUCAGUGAGGAAGAACGCCUGGUGGUUAAUACCCAUCAGGAAAGACAUCACUCACAGAAGAAGCACCGGCUAACUCCGUGCCAGCAGCCGCGGUAAUACGGAGGGUGCGAGCGUUAAUCGGAAUUACUGGGCGUAAAGCGCGCGUAGGUGGCUUGAUAAGCCGGUUGUGAAAGCCCCGGGCUCAACCUGGGAACGGCAUCCGGAACUGUCAAGCUAGAGUGCAGGAGAGGAAGGUAGAAUUCCCGGUGUAGCGGUGAAAUGCGUAGCGAUCGGGAGGAAUACCAGUGGCGAAGGCGGCCUUCUGGACUGACACUGACACUGAGGUGCGAAAGCGUGGGUAGCAAACAGGAUUAGAUACCCGAGUAGUC
rnacentral:rRNA from 1 species